GACUAUUGACCAUAUAGAAUUAAAGCCAAUUUAAUAUUAUCGACAAUGAGAAGUGCUACAUCACCGGGGCCACUGGAGGGCCAAAUUUCUCCAUCCAACCUAUCAUAGGGGACCACGAACAGCCGUGUUCGCUUCGAAUUUUCCUUUGUGGAAAAAAGAAGUGAAAUUUACAAUCUUGUUAGAUUAUUAGCCACUCGUUGAAGGACAGAACUGGUCCGACCAAAUUAAAUGGCCUUUGACACUGAACAAAUGCAUGAAAAGGAACAUUACACGGGUAGCCACACGCUACCAAGAAUAAUGUAGCUAAAACAGGCUCUAUAUAUAAUUUGUAUCGUAUGUAUACUUAAGUGUCGCCCCCAGGGCACAUCUCCAAGUGGUAAAAUGGGAGGGUGGAGAAAUCCAACUUUGUUUGAGACUGCUGCGUCAAGGGUUCGAAUCCUGAAAUAUGAAUUUGGCUCUUGGGUAAGUGCAAGUGUACAAGCAGCCUUCUAUCCUGUACCCUUGGAGGUAUAAUCUGCGAUUUACCUCCCUCACGAUACUCCAAGGCAGGGGUGGUAGGGGACCCUUAAGCAAUGUGUACACCAAUAUAUGUAGCAGUAGGGCCUUCCAGCAUGAGUCCGGAAAUUACUUUAAAAUAAUCUGAACAGCAUAGGAUUGGAUAUAAAAAUUUGUGGUGCUGAUAAAGAGAUUACUCUACCACCACAACCAAAGGCAGCGGUUGCAAAUGAUUUCAGAGUGGAGGUACAACUUUACUACUCAAGGAUAAGGGAAUAUUUCAGGAGGCGUUAGAUAAAUUAUUUAUGAAGAUUACAUGGAUGCUAUGAGCUUUAUAAUUACUUUCCUUCUAGUAACGAGUUUGAAAGUGAUUAAGACAAGAGAGCCAUGACAAUCUGCAUGUGGCGGUGACGACAAGUAUAACUAGGAUGCGUGAAAUGUAGAUCUUUAACUUUUCAGUAUACGCCUGUGUUUAGACGGAAAAUUUUACAUUUAAUUUUAUUGCGAUAUGUUUUAUUUU